GGGAGCAGAGUGAGCAUGCUCAGUCUGCUCCCCUCUCUCUCCCUCCUGAAGGAGAGAGAGGGGAGCAGAGUGAGAGGAGCUCAGUCUGCUCCC